rnacentral:lncRNA from 1 species
AAAUGAUCUCGCAAUCUAGAUGAAUCACGCUCACAAUCUUUGUAGGGUCGAUUACUUUGGUCAUACGAAGAGUCAUUUCCAAAUGGACAUUGGCAUUUUGCAAAAAAAAUAUUCCAUCAACUUGUCAUUCAUAACUCCUAUUGGUUGUGUAUCUAAUUGCAAAUCUACUCACUUCGUAUAUAAAUCUCACUUGUUGAUCCUACUUUUGGAUGACUUAAUUUCACCUUUUUUGCUCCUCUCAUGGUCAUCAUAAUUAAGGUAAUCAUCUAUUAGCUCCCUUUUCUUCUCUUGUCAUCAUUAAAGCAAAUUGUAAGUUAAUUUUAACUAAGAAAAUCAAGUGUGCAUUUCUUAAAUUAAUCUAUCCUUAAAGAAGAAUGAAUGAAAUCUUAGUGGGCCUUUUUAAUGAUAUUGGAUUUGGGGAUUUCUUUAAAAAUGGAAGUAUAUUUUGUGUGGUAUGGAGUCAAAAGUUUAUGUUUACAUUGUAACAUUUGUACUUGAAUUUCUACAAAAAUAUUGUAAUAUAGUCAAGAACUUGCUUGGGAGAUUAUCUCCUUUUUUCUAAAGAAGCAAAGCAUGGUUUUUCUAAUCUUAUUAGAUAUGGAGCAUAUCGAUAAAGAAGUCUAUCAUUAGAUGAUGAAUCUUGAAAUUGAUAAUAAAAUAAUAUGGCAUAUAUGCAUGGUAUCCUCUUUAUCAUCUUUGAGAUGAUGGAUUAAACAUGAUUAAAUAAGAUUAUCGGAUAAAGGUAUAUAGGAUGUUGGUAAAUAUUUUCAUGUUAAUUGAAGUUCAUUAUCUAUCGUGAAAGAAAACAUUAUUAACUUCGUUACAAUUAAUUAGAUGAAGUGAGACAAUUAUAAAUUCUUGAUGGUAAAUUUAUUGGUCUAAUUCUUGACAUUGGCCUUAUUUUUUAAAAUUAUUUUUCGUUUGUCAAAAUCACUCAUUAAUUAAUCACAAGAAAAAACAAAAUCAUAACUUAGAGUUGCAUCCCACGAAUCUAACAAUACAAACUUUAAUUUUUUUUAUUCGUUCAUAACUUCCUUUUCUAAAAAAUAAAAAGAGAGAGAUACAUUGGACUGACUGAUGACACCAACCCCACUAAGUUCCGAAUUUUGUCAAGAAAUUUGACCAAAUUAAGCAUUAUCUAAGGUCCCUACUUCUGGAAACAUGGAAGUACAUUUUAGUGCCUUUAAAACAUGUACUUAAUACUGAAACAUGACUGGACGCACAUAUAAUGUAUAAGAAUUUAAUAUAUUUAUUAUAAUUAAAGAAAAAAAGUAGAUGAGAUUUUUUUUAGUUAUCUUAUUUAGAGGUUGUUUGAUAAAUUUUGAUUAAAAAAAAUUAACUAGUUUUGAUAAAAGUUGAUGAAAUGUGGUUGAAAAUUUGAUAAAAUUGUGAGUCUUACAAAAUGUACGAUUAAAAUUAAUUAUUGACUUUAAUCUCAAAUUUUUAAUAACUUUUAAGUUAUUCGAAGCAAGCAUUUGAUAUUAUCCAAUAUAACAUUUAUUAGCACUAUUUAUGAACUGGCACAAUUGGUUCGACUUGAGUCUACAUGUCAUUUAGAGAGGGUUGAACCUUUCUUAAAAAGGAUUUUGCUAUUUGUACAUUGGGAUUUAACGGCUCAAUGUACAACUCUCUUACAAUAGGGGGUUCGUGCCCAAUAAAAAAAUUGCAAGCCCCCUAUUGUGAGGGAUUAUACAUCAGACUGUCAAACCUGGUUUACUUGUGGCGAAACUCCUCAAACAAAUGAUUGAUAUUGAAGUUCAGUCCUCUCUAUCUCUUCUUUUUGUCUCUGCACUUUUACUUGAUAGUAUCAAGAUGGUGUGCGAUACAUAGUUUUCCCACCUCAAAUGAUUACCUAAUGCAUUUAGAGGGACAGAAAAAAUUUAGAGUUGAACCGACAAUGAAUUUUUAGAUUGGACUAAAUUUUCUAAUCUAAUUUAUGAACUGUCGAAACAGAAAAAGAAAAUUUGGACAAUGUUUAUGAACUAAUUUAUUUAUUUAUUUUUGGGUAGGGUGAGGGCUGUAGCUUGCUUUUGCAAGAGAGGCCCUAUAUGUACAGAAGGAAGGGAAGGGGUUACAAAACCUCUCCAGACAAGAUACACAAUAGAGGGGUGGCUUUUUUCUUUUUUUAUAAUAUUCACGUGGGGCUCACUGUUGAGAAAAAUGUAGCGAAAUCUGAAAACUUAAUGAACUCCAAAACACGAAAAAACGUUAUUUUUUAAGAGAUGUUUCUCCCUUAUCCAACAAAUUUACAACUGGGGUAUGAUAGAAAAUCUCUCUCAGGAUACAAUGGAGACAUCAAAUUGUGACUAUUUGAUCAAAUCAAAAAGACAUUCGAAAAGAACUGAUUGAUGCCAAGAGAAAGAAAGAAGAAUAAUUUUUUUAAUGUGUUUUGCAAACGAGAAUUCGUCCAGA